GUCGGGCCGGGCUCCAGCCCCCAGCAGCAGGGUCACCAGCCCAGCCUUGCCCAGCCGAGAGGCCUCGUGGAGGGGACAGCGUCCGUUGCAGCCCUCCUGGUUCACCCUGGAGCCCCGCAGGAGCAGCAGCUUCACCAGAAGAUAUCAGGAGGGGCAGAAGUCAGAGCUGAGACUGAAACCAGAGCUGUAUGCCUACAUGGGUUCCAGCAAUGAAGCCAUGUUCCAUAACUCAGUUAAAACAGGUGGCCUGUCCACAAGACUGUGUUAGAUUCACACGCAACACAUCUGUCUCAUUAAUUAGUUCAACUGUAAUUGUGCAGGAAAUAAAAAAGUGGUUCUUUUCGAUCCACGUUAAGCUCUGUCACUACACCACUCUGGACUGGUGGGUGGGGAGGCAGGGCACCUGAUACCUGUUACUAUAUUUACCCCCCUCAGCUGAGUUCUUCAUAGUUAUUCAACACUGUGACACUGCAGGGCAGAGCCAGCUGGAUCAAGCUGUAAAUCGAGUGUCAGGCCUCUGAUGACCAUCAGUCUGAAGUCCCAGCUGACUGCGUCUGAGUCAACAUUCAUUUCCUGCAACUAAUAAACAAUAUUUUACAUGUUUUGUUACAUUUGUUCAUAAUCCUACAUGAGGAUGUCAAAUUUAUCAUUUUUAGAUGUCCAGCUGUUUAAAACCCAGAUGUUCACUUCACAAUUAUACAUGAAAACAGAAAAUCUUGACAAUAGAAAAAUUGGGGCCAGAAACUAUUUUAUACAUUUCUCUAAUAAGAAAACAUCUCAUAAUACUGUAUAGCUGUCAUUUUGAUGCACAUUUCACUGUAAACUGAAGCAACUUCAAUUCUUUGAAUGGCACUGUUACUUUUAUUCUAGUCUUGUCUCUUUUGAACAUUUUCUAUUGAAGCCUACUUGUUCUAAUGUUUGUUUCUUAAUUUCUUGUUUUCAAAUGCAAUUUCUCAUGUCUUUUAGUGUAAUCUGUAUGCUCCCGUUAAGCACUUGCUUUCUGUCUGAACUGCUCUAUACCAAUAAACUUACCUCACUAUAAAAUAUGUACAUCAUGAAGUAGAACAUAUUUUUCAGCUAGUUUUAAGACAUCAGUAAACAUUUACAAAGAAACAUUAAGAACCAGAACUGUGGCAGCAUUAGCUGUUUAUUCCACAACCCCUUCUGUCAACACUUGGCUAAGACACCGAACCCCAAAAUGCUCCUGAUGGGCAGGUUAACACCUUGCACACCUGCAUGCCAAACUGUUAGUGCACUUUGUCAAUUAAGGUAGACAUAAGGACAGGAAACUAGACUUCAUGUAUACUUAUUACACAAUUUAAGUGUUUCCUCAAAAGACAUCUGUUUUACUACACUCAUUAACAAGUAGCCAAGCAUGUGAAAAUGUAACCAACUCUGUUCCGUCCAUUUAAAGCCCAUGUACCAGAAAAAAAGUGGGAAAAACACAUUAUCCCUUGGAAAUUUGUGACACAUCAUUUUAUUACUUAAAAAAAUAAAACCAGCAAUCCUGCAAUAACCAAGCAAAGUUUUCGUUGGACUAAUUUCCAUGCUUUUACAUCAGUAACACUUGUGAAAAAAAGCACACCACACAACGAGAGUGUAAUUGAAAACAUGUUUAUUUCAUUUUCUGUCUCAACUGUUUAUGACCUGGGUCUCUCCUUCUUGCCUUUGUACAGUGCCAGCAGGGAGACGUUGGCCACCUUGACCACCUUAAAACGAACUCCAGGAA